GACGAACGCUGGCGGCGCGCUCAAUACAUGCAAGUCGAGCGAGAACCAGGCCUUCGGGCCUGGGGAAAGCGGCGAACGGGUGAGUAACACGUGGGUAAUCUGCCCUCGGCACUGGGAUAGCCCGGGGAAACCCGGAUUAAUACCGGAUAGCCUUUCGAGCCUUCGGGCUCGUCAGAAAAGGUGGCUUCGGCUUCCGGCUGAGGAUGAGCCCGCGGCGGAUUAGCUUGUUGGUGAGGUAAUGGCUCACCAAGGCUCCGAUCCGUAGCUGGUCUGAGAGGACGAUCAGCCACACUGGGACUGAGACACGGCCCAGACUCCUACGGGAGGCAGCAGUAGGGAAUCUUGCGCAAUGGGCGAUAGCCUGACGCAGCGACGCCGCGUGCGGGAAGAAGGCCUUCGGGUUGUAAACCGCUUUCAGGAGGGACGAAGCCACUCGGGUUAAUAGCCCAGAGGGUGACGGUACCUCCAGAAAAAGCCCCGGCUAACUACGUGCCAGCCGCCGCAGUAAGAC
rnacentral:rRNA from 1 species